CUAAUCCUGACUUCGGUCACUUGACUUUGGCCAUCUAACUUCGGCCACCUAUUCUGAUUACUUGAGUCGGAGAAAUGUCUCUGCAACCUAUGCUGAUCACCGAUCUACUUGUGUGUCCCUCCUAUGCUACCAUCAAAUCGAGCUAUCCAAGAUAGCAGCUUCCAUCCUAACCCCAAGAAGCCCCCCUUUGGUCUAGUCACAUCAUCUUAUUAAAGUUAUGAGUAAAGCUGAGCCAUCCUCAAAGUUCUUGAUUAUCAACCCAUGCCAUUAAUGGAGGCG
rnacentral:lncRNA from 1 species